rnacentral:rRNA from 1 species
ACGCUGGCGGCGUGCUUAACACAUGGCAAGUCGAACGGAAAGGCCCAGCUUGCUGGGUACUCGAGUGGCGAACGGGUGAGUAACACGUGGGUGAUCUGCCCCAAACUUCGGGAUAAGCCUGGGAAACUGGGUCUAAUACCGGAUAUGACCUGCUCCUGCAUGGGGGGUUGGUGGAAAGCUUUUGCGGUUUGGGAUGGGCCCGCGGCCUAUCAGCUUGUUGGUGGGGGUAAUGGCCUACCAAGGCGACGACGGGUAGCCGACCUGAGAGGGUGAUCGGCCACACUGGGACUGAGACACGGCCCAGACUCCUACGGGAGGCAGCAGUGGGGGAAUAUUGCACAAUGGGCGCAAGCCUGAUGCAGCGACGCCGCGUGAGGGAUGACGGCCUUCGGGUUGUAAACCUCUUUCGCCAGGGACGAAGCGCAAGUGACGGUACCUGGAGAAGAAGCACCGGCCAACUACGUG